rnacentral:rRNA from 1 species
UACGUAGGGUGCAAGCGUUGUCCGGAAUUAUUGGGCGUAAAGCGCACGUAGGCGGUUUGUUAAGUCGGAUGUGAAAUCCCUCGGCUCAACUGAGGAAGUGCAUCCGAAACUGGCAAGCUUGAGUACGAAAGAGGGUCGCGGAAUUCCCGGUGUAGAGGUGAAAUUCGUAGAUAUCGGGAGGAACACCGGUGGCGAAGGCGGCGACCUGGGUCGAUACUGACGCUGAGGUGCGAAAGCGUGGGGAGCAAACAGG